UCCCUGCUGGUCUAGUGGUUAGGGUUCGGCGCUCUCACCGCUGCGGCCCGGGUUCGAUUCCCGGUCAGGGAA
rnacentral:tRNA from 1 species